GCCGAGGUAGCUCAGCUGGUAGAGCAGCUGAUUCGUAAUCAGCAGGUCGUCGGUUCGAUUCCGAUCCUCGGCU
rnacentral:tRNA from 1 species